rnacentral:tRNA from 1 species
GGUCAUCUAGCUCAUCAGUAGAGCGACUGUCUGAAGAACAGUAGGUGCUUGGUGCGACUCCAAGGGUGACCACCA